AGUGAGCGCUGGCGGUAGGCCUAACACAUGCAAGUCGAACGGCAGCACAGUAAGAGCUUGCUCUUACGGGUGGCGAGUGGCGGACGGGUGAGGAAUACAUCGGAAUCUACUUUUUCGUGGGGAUAACGUAGGGAAACUUACGCUAAUACCGCAUACGACCUACGGGUGAAAGCAGGGGAUCUUCGGACCUUGCGCGAUUGAAUGAGCCGAUGUCGGAUUAGCUAGUUGGCGGGGUAAAGGCCCACCAAGGCGACGAUCCGUAGCUGGUCUGAGAGGAUGAUCAGCCACACUGGAACUGAGACACGGUCCAGACUCCUACGGGAGGCAGCAGUGGGGAAUAUUGGACAAUGGGCGCAAGCCUGAUCCAGCCAUACCGCGUGGGUGAAGAAGGCCUUCGGGUUGUAAAGCCCUUUUGUUGGGAAAGAAAAGCAGCAGGUUAAUACCCCGCUGUUCUGACGGUACCCAAAGAAUAAGCACCGGCUAACUUCGUG
rnacentral:rRNA from 1 species